CUACGGGGUGCAGCAGUGGGGAAUAUUGCACAAUGGGCGAAAGCCUGAUGCAGCAACGCCGCGUGAACGAUGAAGGCCUUCGGGUUGUAAAGUUCUUUUCUUGGAGAAGAAUCCAUGACGGUAUCCAAGGAAUAAGCCCCGGCUAACUACGUGCCAGCAGCCGCGGUAAUACGUAGGGGGCAAGCGUUAUCCGGAAUCACUGGGCGUAAAGGGAGUGUAGGCGGUCAAGCAAGUCAGGGGUGAAAGGCAUCGGCUCAACCGAUGUAAGCCUUUGAAACUGUUUGACUUGAGUGCAGGAGAGGUAAGUGGAAUUCCUAGUGUAGCGGUGAAAUGCGUAGAUAUUAGGAGGAACACCAGUGGCGAAGGCGACUUACUGGACUGUAACUGACGCUGAGGCUCGAAAGCGUGGGGAGCGAACAGGAUUAGAUACCCCAGUAGUC
rnacentral:rRNA from 1 species